rnacentral:misc_RNA from 1 species
GCAAACUUGGUCAUUUAGAGGAAGUAAAAGUCGUAACAAGGUUUCCGUAGGUGAACCUGCGGAAGGAUCAUUAUUGAAACAUUGUGAAGGAGAGUUGAGCUGGUCCUUAACGGGCAAGUGCUCGCUCUUCUUUCAAUCUUCAUCCACCUGUGCACUUUUUGUAGAGAGUUCUAAGAAAACAGGCCUUGUAACAGAGGUCUCGAGUACUGGGGUUCUCUAUGUCUUUAUAAACUCUGAAUGUAUGUCGUUGAAUGUCUUUUACAAGGGACUUAAUUGGCCCUUUUAAAAACAAUACAACUUUCAGCAACGGAUCUCUUGGCUCUCGCAUCGAUGAAGAACGCAGC